rnacentral:rRNA from 1 species
GUGGGGAAUUUUGGACAAUGGGCGCAAGCCUGAUCCAGCCAUUCCGCGUGAGUGAAGAAGGCCUUCGGGUUGUAAAGCUCUUUCGCAAGGGAAGAAAACUUACCUUUUAAUAGAGGGUGAGGUUGACGGUACCUUGAUAAGAAGCACCGGCUAACUACGUGCCAGCAGCCGCGGUAAUACGUAGGGUGCGAGCGUUAAUCGGAAUUACUGGGCGUAAAGCGUGCGCAGGCGGUGUUGUAAGUCAGAUGUGAAAGCCCCGGGCUCAACCUGGGAACUGCGUUUGAAACUACAAGGCUAGAGUAUGGGAGAGGGGGGUAGAAUUCCACGUGUAGCAGUGAAAUGCGUAGAGAGGUGGAGGAAUACCAAUGGCGAAGGCAGCCCCCUGGCCUAAUACUGACGCUCAUGCACGAAAGCGUGGGGAGCAAACAGGAUUAGAAACCCUUGUAGUCC